GAACGCUGGCGGCGUGCCUAAUACAUGCAAGUCGAGCGGAUUUAUCCUUCGGGAUAAGUUAGCGGCGGACGGGUGAGUAACACGUAGGUAACCUGCCUAUAAGAYYGGGAUAACUAUCGGAAACGAUAGCUAAGACCGGAUAAYUGGUUUUYUCGCAUGAGAGAAYYAUGAAACACGGAGCAAUCUGUGGCUUAUAGAUGGGCCUGCGGCGCAUUAGCUAGUUGGURRGGUAACGGCYYACCAAGGCGAC
rnacentral:rRNA from 1 species